UUUAAUAAUCACUUAUUGGCUUUCAGAUAACACCACGGCUACAACUGCUUCUGUCAAUUGCAAAGAUGAACCCCUCAACAAUGCUACUGCCACCAACUAUACCGAUUAUACCAAGAUGAACUUCACAUCCUUGGUUGUAUAUGGUUUGAGAGUGCUGUUUGCCAAAGCCGUGGCAUUUAAUGUGCUAUUUACUGUCAAGGCCCUGGUGUUCUAGACAUUUUUUCACUUGGACUCCUACUUUUCAGUUCUGCUUUGCAUCCAGUUUGUCAAACCUGCCUUGUGGUUUUAUCAAGAGCUUCAACAAUAUUAGUAUCUGACUUUUCAGGGUUGAAUGCUGCAAUUCCUCUGCUUACAUUUUGGAAAUACUAGAUACUAAAUACACAUGUAAUGCAUGUGAUUGUUUGGUAUUAAACAUUAGGUUACAUUUUAUAUUCUAUAUCAUUUUAUAUUAUGUUAUAAUAUUUAUAUUUACUUGUAUUAUAUCUUUAACUGCAAGUUGUCAUCAAGUGUAUAAAGACU